AGCAGUGUGGCUUAGUGGAAAAAGCGCAGGUCUGGAAGUCAGAAGGACCUGGGUUCUAAUCCUAGCUCUGCUG
rnacentral:tRNA from 1 species